CCCUUAGAUGUUCUGGGCCGCACGCGCACUACACUGACAGGGCCAGCGAGUACAUCACCUUAACCGAGAGGUUUGGGUAAUCUUGUUAAACCCUGUCGUGCUGGGGAUAGAGCAUUGCAAUUAUUGCUCUUCAACGAGGAAUGCCUAGUAGGCACGAGUCAUCAGCUCGUGCCGAUUACGUCCCUGCCCUUUGUACACACCGCCCGUCGCUACUACCGAUUGAAUGGCUCAGUGAGGCCUUGGGAUUGGCUUAGGAGGGUUGGCAACGACCCCCCAGAGCCGAAAACUUGGUCAAACUCGGUCAUUUAGAGGAAGUAAAAGUCGUAACA
rnacentral:rRNA from 1 species